GACGAACCGUGCGAACGUUAUUCGGAAUCACUGGGCUUAAAGCGCGUGUAGGCGGUCCGCCGCGUCGGCUGCUGAAAUCCCCCGGCUCAACCGGGGAACGGGCACCGAUACGGGCGGCCUCGAGGGGGGUAGGGGGGCCCGGAACUUCCGGUGGAGCGGUGAAAUGCGUUGAGAUCGGAAGGAACGCCCGUGGCGAAAGCGGGGCCCUGGACCCUUACUGACGCUGAGACGCGAAAGCCAGGGGAGCGAACGGG
rnacentral:rRNA from 1 species